AAGGCUGGACGACCUCUGUUGGUGCGGCUGCAGCCUUACAAGAAAUUUCAGCAAGAUACGGAAGGGAGAGCUCAGCCCUAGGCCGAGAGCUGCCGGGAGGGGGCGCGCCCAAGCGCACAGCAAAGACAAAGACCGGCAGCCAACGGUUGUCGGCGCUGGCGGAGGCUCCAGAGGCUGGGAGUGGAGUCCGAGGAUCGAACAGCUCCUGAAGACGGAAGGUCCCCCUCUUUCCACCUCCACAGACAACACCAAGCACACUGGAAGAAAGGACUGGCAGUGUGAACACGCAGUCUCCUUCCUAGGAGAGAGAAAUGCAAGGCCUGUUGUGAACAAGCCUGGGAUUGCCAGGAUCCUAGGACCUUUAAGAAGGCACCAAAAUGUAUCAGCUAUGGAUGAAGAAGGGGACUCAGGGUCCCAGCCCAACCCCGGGGCCUCCACACCCUUGGACUCCAGCCCUAGGUUCUCAGAGGCACUGCAGCAGUCAGUUCCAAGCCUUGUGUACCCCUCCCCACCAUGCUGUCAUCCCCAGUCAGGACUCAGUUUAGUUUACCUGCUGGGCUCCCACAUUUGACCUCUAUUUCCACAAGGCUCUUCCCUCCCCCUCCGAACUCACAACCCUUUGACCUCUCUCCAUUCUUAUUUUGCCAUUUGCCAGUGCCGAGUGACUCAUUCAGACACUCAGCAACACACGUUGAUUGACCACCUGCUGUAUGCAGAACAGUCUAAAGCCCUGGCUGCAUAAGGGUCUCCAUGGCAAAGGCCCCUCACAAACUCACCUUCUCUAUUAACCCUCAGGGCAGGUCACAAGCCAGGCUGACAGGGUCAGGAGAACAAUGAGCUCCCUCCCACAGGGAUCGAACUCAAGACGUUGUGCUUGCAAGGAAGGCAGCAGAACCCCAGUCAUCCCUUUGUUUACUGAUGACCACAACCAAGGAUAGAGGCCAACUGCUGCGGCAGAUCAUCCCUCAACAUUGGGGCGUCCCUGGACACUUCCAACCCUUCUCCUGACAGGCCAGGGGUCCUUUCAAGCCCUAGUGUAGUAGGCAGGAAAGACUCCCCAGACACCAAGUAGAACAAAGGAGGCAGAAGUCCCAGGACACAACCAGUAUGUCCCUCUUUUCUGGACGGCCUGGAGACGAGAAGGGGUGAAGACAACCUUUUCUCCUGCUUUGCUUCUCUCCUUGUGUACCACUGACCUUCAAGUCCCUGACACCGCUAGAGACAGUCGAGUCUGCAGGAAAGAAGAACAUCAGGAGCCCAAAGAGACAUUUACAAGCCAUGUUCCUUUGUCUGCUUCUCCCUGGUGACAGGUCCAGACCCCUGUGCCAGAGCCCAGCAUAGGAGUUGCUCAGCACUCCCACCAGCCAGCAUCCUGAGCUUCCCUGAGGCCUCUGUGUGACCUUGGGGAGGGAUCUCUUUGACUGGUUCAGCCCCAGCACAUGCUGGAUCACAGGCUUUGCGGUCUCAGAGUCUGUUCCCAGGGAGGGCUAAUGGCGCCCUCCCCAUACUGUUGUCACUGUAUAGACAGAGCCUUCAGCUUGGGAACUAGUUAUGGAAUAAGCCCCUCCCUAGAAUAACCAAAUCCCAAUCCUAUCCCCACGUUCCCAAACACCGUUGGAUUUUUAAUCUUGGGUUCCAGAGGCCGGUCUGCUGUGUCACCAAACAAACUCAGAGAGAGGCGAGGGCCACUGCCUGGAGUGCAUCUGACGCACAGAGACCGAAAGCCAUUUAUAUGCCAAGAAAUACGUCAUUAAAUCACUAAACCUGUAAGGCGAAGUACACUUAGAUGCUUCUGACUCAUCCUGAUGCCCAUUUGCAGAACCUCAGCAGAAAAUGUACUGGAGGAAACAGAAGAAAGGACUUAGAACAAAGUCAAAUGCCAGUGAGAUGAGAUGUCAGAUGCUCCUCUCCUUACUCAGUUUCCUACCAGCAAGGCCCGGCAGGGCUUUGAUUCCUGGUCUUCAGGGCUUCUGCAGGGGUUCAAGGGCAGAGAUCUUGAUAGACAAUGCAUUUCCAAAGGCAAGUGUC